rnacentral:rRNA from 1 species
UACAGAGGGGGCAAGCGUUAUUCGGAAUUAUUGGGCGUAAAGCGCACGUAGGCGGCUUUGUAAGUUAGAGGUGAAAGCCCAGGGCUCAACCCUGGAAUUGCCUUUAAGACUGCAUCGCUAGAAUUGUGGAGAGGUAAGUGGAAUUCCGAGUGUAGAGGUGAAAUUCGUAGAUAUUCGGAAGAACACCAGUGGCGAAGGCGACUUACUGGACACAUAUUGACGCUGAGGUGCGAAAGCGUGGGGAGCAAACAGG